UUCAAUCAACCCUAACCAAGCCAACAUAAUGACAAAAGGUAGAUUUCAUUGGUCCUAAUUCAAGACUCCAAAAGCCCCUAAAAAAAUAUCCAGAUGACUUGAAAUAAAAUAAAACCAAAUACUAGAGGUAAAAAUAAUGGGGGUCUAUGUUGGGCAUAUUUUUAGAAUAAUAAAAAUAGGUGACAUAAAAAAUAAAAGGAAAAUGUAAAUAAAUUGUGAAAAUAAAUAAACAAAAUCAGACAAGUAAAAAAAGAAACAAAGGAUUUGUACACGUUGGGG
rnacentral:lncRNA from 1 species